GAGAGCCUGGCUCUACAAAACUAAAUAAAUAAGGAAGCAGUGAAUUCCAAUGUAUUCAUCGCCAACUAGCCAUGUUGCUGGGUGUGCGCUCUUUUAGGUGCAAUGUGUCAUUUAGGCCUGUGACGUCGGAACUUUACUAUUUGAACAUUUAAAAAUAAAUGAAUCCAAGAGGUUGAGUCACUUGGCCAAAAAUGCCCAGGAGUUAAAGGCCAAGUCAGGUACCCCGGCUCUAUAGCUCUAACUGAUCGCCGGAGACCCUGGGCCUUGGAAGAAGUCGCCUCCCCAGAUCUCUAAGCAGGCCGCGCGACCCUCGAGUCUCAGGUAAGCAGGAAACCCCAUUUCACAAGGAAGCCCCCCCAACUCCGAGGCACGGGCGCAUGCGCAGGUCGGCCACCCGCUGGGGCCGCGGGGCCGCCGCUCUGGCCCGCGUGGCGCAGUCGUCCGCGUCUCGCUGAUGAUGACGCACGUCCGGGGCGGCGGGGAAAGCAAGAUGGCGGCGCCCAUGGAGGUGGCCGUGUGUACGGACUCUGCGGCCCCGAUGUGGAGCUGCAUCGUGUGGGAACUUCACUCGGGCGCCAACCUGCUCACCUACCGCGGCGGCCAGGCGGGACCCCGCGGCCUAGCGCUGCUCAAUGACGAGUAUCUGCUGGCGGCGCAGCUGGGCAAGAACUACAUCAGCGCCUGGGAGCUGCAGCGGAAGGACCAGCUCCAGCAGAAGAUCAUGUGCCCCGGGCCUGUCACCUGUCUGACCGCGUCACCCAACGGUCUCUACGUCCUGGCAGGAGUUGCAGAAAGCAUCCAUCUGUGGGAGGUCUCCACCGGGAACCUUCUGGUCAUCCUGAGUCGACACUACCAGGACGUCUCCUGCCUUCAGUUCACAGGGGACAGCAGCCACUUCAUCUCGGGGGGCAAGGACUGCCUGGUGCUGGCUUGGAGCCUCUGCAGUGUGCUGCAGGCCGACCCCUCCAGGAUCCCGGCGCCCCGGCACGUCUGGUCUCACCACACGCUCCCCAUCACGGACCUGCACUGCGGCUUUGGGGGCCCCCUGGCCCGGGUGGCCACCUCCUCACUGGACCAGACGGUGAAGCUGUGGGAGGUCUCCUCGGGGGAGCUCCUUCUCUCCGUCCUCUUUGACGUGUCCAUCAUGGCGGUGACCAUGGACCUGGCUGAGCACCACAUGUUCUGCGGGGGCAGUGAGGGCUCCAUCUUCCAGGUCGACCUCUUCUCCUGGCCUGGACAGAGGGAGAGGAGUUUCCAGCCAGAGCAGGACGCCGGGAAGGUCUUCAAAGGGCACAGGAACCAGGUGACCUGCCUGUCGGUGUCCACUGACGGCAGCGUGCUGCUCUCAGGCUCCCACGACGAGACCGUGCGCCUCUGGGACGUGCAGAGCAGGCAGUGCAUCCGGACCGUGGCCCUCAAAGGCCCAGUCACCAACGCCACCAUCCUGCUGGCGCCCGUCAGCAUGCUGAGCUCAGACUUCAGGCCCAGCCUGCCGCUGCCCCACUUCAACAAGCACCUGCUGGGCGCCGAGCACGGGGACGAGCCGCGCCACGGGGGCCUCACCCUGCGCCUGGGCCUCCACCAGCAGGUACGGCCCCCAGCAGGGAACCCCCACUGCCCUUUUGUCUCGGAAGACCCCGCGGGCCCUGGGCUCCUUCGCUCCCUUGGUCCUGGCGCCCGUGCGGCGGUUCCCCCCCAAGCCCGGCACUGGAGGGCGCAUCCUGUGAGUGGGAUGGUGAUGCUCAGUGGGGCCUCUGCCCACUCUCAGUAUGGACCCAGAGGCUCCGAGAAGUUAACCACCCCUCGCCCCCCGGCCAGCAGGGCCGAGCUGCGCGCCCCACACACCAGCCUUCCUGCCGCUGGAGAUCCGACGACGGUCAGGUCUUUCUGCAAAGGGCCGAUGCCCCAUAUUUUGGGCUGUGAGGGCCAAAAGGUUCAUGUCUGGGCUGCCGAAGGUGCAGGAGCAGCCGUGGGGGCAGGGAGCGGGUGGGGCCCUGGUGGCUGCAGGUGGCUCCUAUGUGAGCUGGGGGCAGCCUCUCGGCCUGGUCACAGUCACGCCCUCACUCCCUGCAGCUCAGCACCGACCCCCGCUCUGUGCAGGUGCUAGGGUGGGCUCCCGUACCUUCUGAGGAUAGAGGGACUUCCAGAACACUUCCCACCCCAGCCCCAGGACCCUCAUAGAAGCCCGUGUGGUUGGCUGGGCUGGGCUGGGGUGGGGGCUGGGGGUCCUUGGGCCUGGGGAGGCUUCCCAGCGUGUUUCCGCCUCACUCCCCGACCUUCAGUGAGCUGCCUGCGUCCUUGGUGUCUCACGUCACUGUCUGUGUCCCUCGCUGGGCUCUGGCGCUUGGCACUUCUCCCCGCGCACCCUCUUCUUACCUGAGUACAGAUGGAUUUUUUUAUCUGGAGGGUGUCCGACAGCCCGACGGCCUGACAGGCCCUGCACCAGGAGAUGCUGUUAUCUCCCUUGUCCGCGCUGCCUGAUGGAGUGAUGCUCUGUCAUCCCACAUCUACCAGUGGGCUCGGAGCGGGCAGGCAAGGGACCCCCACCGUCUGGGCAUCCGCAGGCCCCUCAGACCGCAAGGAGGCCAGGAGCACAGGCUGGACUGACUGCUAACAGCGUGGGCGCAAGGAUGAGGGGCAAGCCUUUUUGUUCAGAAAGUGCCAGAACCUUCGGAGUGAAAACGCCUGCAGCGGCACAGAGCCAGCUCCACACUAGGGCGCCUGCCCAGCCACUGCCUCCUCCCAGGGCAGCCUCGGCUCCCACGAUUCCUGCCCAGCCAAGCGCCCUCCCCAGAACCCCACCCAGCUGGCCAUGGUGGGAUUCCGGAGGGGGCCAGGCCACGCCCUCCGGUAAUGCCACCUUUCCCUAGCCGCCCCGCCUGGCUCCCCUCCUCCCGCGACAGCUGCCAGUCCUCUGUGACCCUUGUUGCAAUCCAGCUGACACUGGAGUGUCGGCCUUUCCCACAGACAGGCGCUUCAUCCAGGAAGCGGGUUUCCGACCUCUGAUCCCCCAGCAACGUCCCUCCAUGUAACUGGUCCGUCUGUACAGGGCAGUGGCCUUAAACUGGGCCGGCCGGGCUCUCCCCAUUGCUGGAGGUGCUCACUGUCCGUGAGGCCCUCGCCCGGCCUUGUGUUCCAGAGCCUUCCCUGGGCUUGUGGGUCCUUCCAGGUCUGGCGCAGGCCCCCUGUCUGUGGUGUGGCCAUCUGCACCCCCAUCCCCAGCCACAUCCUUGGGUGCAGUCGUGGAGGACCUGAGGCGCUGGGUGAUGACUGCAUGGCCAGGGUCAGGGUUGUCAUCUGCAGGCUGGAGGGAGGUGAACGCCCCUGUCUCAGUCUCCCCUUCUGUCUGUGGGCAUCACGGUGGCCCCUCCCUGGCCGAGUGGCUGCCCACACUAUCGGGGGUGGGAUGGGCAGCGUGUGGUGUGUGACAGGACGUGCCCCGAGGUCACGUGGCUCCCUGUAUUGUAGGGCUCGGAGCCCAGCUACCUGGACCGCACGGAGCAGCUGCAGGCCGUCCUGGGCAGCACCAUGGAGAAGAGCGUGCUCGGUGGCCAGGACCAGCUGCGCG